GACGAACGCUGGCGGCGCGCUUAACACAUGCAAGUCGAACGGAAAGGCCUGCUUUCCCUUGUGGAUUGCGGGUACUCGAGUGGCGAACGGGUGAGUAACACGUGAGUGAUCUGCCCCCAACUUGGGUAUAAGCCUGGGAAACUGGGUCUAAUUCCCGAUAGGACUGCAGGGUGGUGCCUGUGGUGGAAAACGAUUUUCUAGUGGUUGGGGAUGAGCUCGCGGCCUAUCAGCUUGUUGGUGGGGUAAUGGCCUACCAAGGCGGCGACGGGUAGCCGGCCUGAGAGGGUGGACGGCCACAUUGGGACUGCGAUACGGCCCAGACUCCUACGGGAGGCAGCAGUGGGGAAUAUUGCACAAUGGGCGGAAGCCUGAGGCAGCGACGCCGCGUGGGGGAUGACGGCCUUCGGGUUGUAAACUCCUUUCGACCGCGAGGAAGCCACCUGGUUGGAAGGGUGGUGACGGUAGUGGUAGAAGAAGCACCGGCUAACUACGUG
rnacentral:rRNA from 1 species